UGGGUAACCUGCCUCAAAGAGGGGAAUAGCCUCCCGAAAGGGAGAUUAAUACCGCAUAAUAUGUUUUAAUCGCAUGAUUUUAACAUCAAAGGAUUUUCUUAGGAAAUUCCACUUUGAGAUGGACCCGCGGCGCAUUAGCUAGUUGGUGAGGUAACGGCUCACCAAGGCAACGAUCCGUAGCUGGUCUGAGAGGAUGAUCAGCCACACUGGGACUGAGACACGGUCCAGAUCCGUA
rnacentral:rRNA from 1 species